AAUUACACAUGCAAGUAUCCCCAAGCCAGUGAGGAUGCCCUUCAAAUCGAUUCCGAUGAAAAGGAGUGGGUAUCAAGUUCACACAAAAGUAGCUCAUAACACCUCGUAAAACCACACCCCCACGGGUAACAGCAGUGAUAAAAAUUAAGCUAUGAACGAAAGUUCGACUUAGUCAUGCAAUACAACUAGGGUUGGUAAAUCUCGUGCCAGCCACCGCGGUCAUACGAUUAACCCGAAUUAAUAAACAAUCGGCGUAAAGAAUGUUUAAGAUUAUAAACAAAACUAAGAUUAAAUCUUGUCUAUGUCGUAAAAAAUUAUAGACAAGCCGAAACUCAAUAAACGCAAGUAAUCUUAUAAUAUCUGAACACAUGACAGCUUGGGUACAAAGCUAGGCCGUAAACGCAAAAUAUUAAAUAUAACAAAAAAUUUCGCCCAGAGACUACUAGCCACGGCUAAAAACUCAAAGGACUUGGCGGUGCUUUACAUCCACCUAGAGGAGCCUGUUCUGUAAUCGAUAAACCCCGAUAAACCUCACCACUUUUUGCUAAUUCAGCCUAUAUACCGCCAUCUUCAGCGAACCUUAACAAAGUAAAAAAGUGAGCAUAAUCACAAACAUAAAGACGUUAGGUCAAGGUGUAGCCAAUAAAGUGGGAAGUAAUGGGCUACAUUUUCUUGACAAAGAACAUUUAAACGAAAGCUAUUAUGAAAUUUGAUAGC
rnacentral:rRNA from 1 species